rfam:Trichuris suis scaffold90.9, whole genome shotgun sequence.
GCCCCAGUGGCGCAACCGGUUAGCGCGUCGUACUUAUAAGCAGUACCCAACCUGCUAACGAAAUGCGAAGGUUGUGAGUUCGAUCCUCACCUGGGGCA